UAAAGAAUCAGGAAGGGAUUCUUCCUUGCC
rnacentral:piRNA from 1 species